AAAUUUUAGAAUUGGGGUUCAAUUUUCAGAAUUAUGUUUUUACUUUUAAAAAAAUUCUACUGUUCAUCGCUUUUUCGGCAACUUUUCGGCCAGUCACCAUCCUAAAGCCCCUUUCAUUUUUUUUAAUAUUUUUCCAUCCAAGCUAACAACCAGUAUGCUGCGGCUGCCCAACUUCUUCUUCCUUCAUCACCGUUUCGAGCAGCCAACAACUUCACCACCAUCGGAGUUACAAGACCACCGAAACCCUCUCCAAACCAGUUCCAAAACUCCCUUCCUUUUUCCGUUACAAUUUUCAGCUAAGAAACCACCGGAAACACACCUAUUUUCACCACCAGUGACCACCAGACACCACCACAAGCUCGAACCACCAAGCUCCGGCAAAGAGCACCCAAUGUACAGUUCCCCUCCCCCUUUCCCUCUUACGAUUCUCCUCUAUUUGCAGGUAUUCAGUGAAUCUCUAAACUCCAGCGAGAAUGAACAAACAAGAACAACUAAAAUUUCUAAAUCUGCCUGAAUUUUCUAUUUUUCCGGUAAACUCCGAUAGUUAUUUUAUUUUGGUCAUAUUUGUUUAACAUUUUGUUAAUAUAGUUUAUCUGUUAUGUUGUGUUUGGUUUUAUAAUUCUCUUAUAUUUGUUUAUUCACUUUUGUUCCUUUAUCUUGUCAAUUUUUGUUUACUUUCAUUGUUUAUUCUUUGUGAGAUUCUUGUUUCAUUAUUUAUUAUUUUUCAUUGUUUAAUUGGUGUAUUCUAAUUUUAUGCCCAUUAAUGACUUUUGUUCUAUGUAUUGUUUGUUGUUGCCGAUGUUAUCUUUAUUAUUAUUAUUAUAAGUUCAAUGUUAUUUAAUAGAGUUAUAGUUAUUAUUCUGUUUGUUAUUAUUAUUAUUAAUACUCUUAUUGUUUAUAAUAUUAUGUUGUCCGUUUAGGUUGGACUGAUAUUAGCUAUUCAAAGUUUAUUAAGUUUUAUGUUUGUUCAAUUGGCCAAUGAAAAAAAAUUUUGUCGGUUUUGGAGGUCUUUCCAUUUUAAAAGACGGAAAUUUAAUUUAAAUUUAUAUAUUUUAGUUGUUAGAAUUGGACGAUGAAGAAAUUAUCGUCGAUUUUCAAGGCCUCCCAUAUUCAUAAGACGAAUUUUUUAUUUUUAAGUUAUUAUAUCAUAUAUUCAAUUUUAUUCAUAUUUAUUUAUUUCCAACAUUUUUACUAUGUGUGUUUACAGGUACUCAAGACUUGCUUCCUUGAAGUUAUUCAAAGGAGUUCGAAUUAUAUUUUUAAUUCAUUAUUUUGUAUAUAUAUCGAUGUUAGUCAAAUUUUAGACCGGUAUUAUUAUUUUAUUUUUAUUGUGUAUAUUGCUUGUUUAUUAUAUUUGUGCAUUAUUUUAUUUUCCUCCUCAAGUUGAAAAAAUGAACUCAAUCGAGAAUUAGUGGUGG
rnacentral:lncRNA from 1 species